AGGGUUCGAUUCUGGCUCAGGACGAACGCUGGCGGCGUGCUUAAUACAUGCAAGUCGAACGGAGCUUAGCCGAUAGUUACUAGAGGCGAAAGCUUAGUGGCGGACGGGUGAGUAACGCGUGGGUAAUCUGCCCCUAAGUCCGGGAUAACAGAGCGAAAGUUCUGCUAAGACCGGAUACUCUUUACCGGUUGCAUAACGGGUAAAGGAAAGGAAACGCUUGGGGAUGAGCCCGCGUCCCAUUAGCUAGUUGGAGAGGUAACGGCUCACCAAGGCGGCGAUGGGUAGCCGGCCUGAGAGGGUGGACGGCCACACUGGGACUGAGACACGGCCCAGACUCCUACGGGAGGCAGCAGUAGGGAAUUUUCCGCAAUGGGCGCAAAGCCUGACGGAGCAACGCCGCGUGAGGGACGAAGGUCUUCGGAUCGUAAACCUUUGUCAUCGAGGACGAUAAUGACGGUACUCGAGGAGGAAGCCCCGGCUAACUACGUGCCAGCCGCUGC
rnacentral:rRNA from 1 species